GCCCUUACUGCUCAGUAACACGUGGAUAAUCUACCCUUGGGUGGAGAAUAACCUCGGGAAACUGAGGCUAAUGAGCCAUAGACAUUCUAUGACUGAAUACUUGAAUGUUGAAAGCGCAAAGCGCCCAAGGAUGAGUCUGCGGCCUAUCAUGGUUGUAGGCGGUGUAAUGGACCACCUAGCCUAUGACGGGUACGGGCACUGAGAGGUGGAGCCCGGAGAUGGACUCUGAGACACGAGUCCAGGCCCUACGGGGCGCAGCAGGCGCGAAAACUACGCACUGCGCGAAAGCGCGACGUGGGAAACCCGAGUGCCUUUUCUUUUUUGAAAAGGCUUUUCUCAAGCCUAAAAAGCUUGGGGAAUAAGAGCUGGGCAAGACGGGUGCCAGCCGCCGCGGUAAUACCCGCAGCUCGAGUGGUAGCCGCUAUUAUUGAGCCUAAAGCGUUUGUAGCCGGCUUUGUAAAUCCUUGGGUAAAUCGAGUCGCUUAACGGUUCGAAUUUCAGGGAGACUGCAAGGCUAGAGACCGGGAGAGGUCAGAGGUACUUUCGAGGUAGGAGUAAAAUCCCGUAAUCCCGAAGGGACCACCUGUGGCGAAGGCGUCUGACUAGAACGGCUCUGACGGUGAGGAACGAAGGCUAGGGGAGCAAACAGGAUUAGAUACCCUGGUAGUCCACGCUGUAAACGAUGUGUGCUGGAUGUUGGGGAACUUAGUUUCUCAGUGUCGUAGCUAACGCGAUAAGCACACCGCCUGGGGAGUACGGCCGCAAGGUUGAAACUCAAAGGAAUUGGCGGGGGAGCACAA
rnacentral:rRNA from 1 species